GUGAGAGUGCUGUGUAUGAUGUGUGUGAGAGUGCUGUGUAUGAUGUGUGUGAGGGUGCUGUGUAUGAUGUGUGUGAGAGUGCUGAGUGUGAUGAGUGUGAGAGUGCAGAGUGUGAUGUGUGUGAGAGUGCUGUGUAUGAUGUGUGUGAGAGUGCUGUGUAUGAUGUGUGUGAGAGUGCUGAGUGUGAUGUGUGUGAGAGUGCUGUGUAUGAUGUGUGUGAGAGUGCUGUGUAUGAUGUGUGUGAGAGUGCUGAGUGUGAUGUGUGUGAGAGUGCUGAGUGUGAUGUGUG